ACCUGACGUGGCCUGAAGAGACAGACAAUGGCUCUUGCUAGCUAAUUAUUGUCAGAUGGAUCGGCAGCCGACCAACGCUUCUGAAAUUAUUGUUUUUGGCAAAUGUUCCUCAACAUUUUCCUGGGAGCUAUGGUGCAUUACUCACGAGUGACAGAACCAACGAGCUUCAUCUCCCAAGAGGCUGGUGCAUCUGUUUAAAGGAGCAAGCGUUAUGCAGAGCCACCCCCACUCCACCCUCCAUGGCAGAGUGCAGUGGGGGAAGAAGUUUUCAUAGAAAUGCUUUCUAUAAAGCAUUUUCAUAGAGAAAGCAGGUUCAUAUAGAAAGCAUUGGCUGCUGGUUGGAGUGGAGAGAUUGAAGACCCUCAUCUAGGAUCAAGCAACCCCCAGAAAACAAUUUUAAACAUGUCCAUUCAGACAAAAGGAGUCCAAAACCAUAAGAUCCUCUCAGCAUCCUGAACUAAUGUCCAGCUGUUAUCUCGGGAUGGGAUUUCACCAUGUUGUCCAAGCUGGUUUUGAACUCCUGGGCUCAAGAAAUCCA
rnacentral:lncRNA from 1 species